rnacentral:rRNA from 1 species
GUAGGGUGCGAGCGUUAAUCGGAAUUACUGGGCGUAAAGCGUGCGCAGGCGGUUUGCUAAGACAGGUGUGAAAUCCCCGGGCUUAACCUGGGAACUGCGCUUGUGACUGGCAGGCUAGAGUACGGCAGAGGGGGGUGGAAUUCCUGGUGUAGCAGUGAAAUGCGUAGAGAUCAGGAGGAACACCGAUGGCGAAGGCAGCCCCCUGGGCCUGUACUGACGCUCAUGCACGAAAGCGUGGGGAGCAAAC